rnacentral:rRNA from 1 species
AUGAUUGAAAAGAGAGAGGAGACAGAUGAGCAAAAGGAGGCCACUGAAGAAGGGCAAAAUGUUCUUCAAAUGGCAGACGUCAACGUCAAAGAAGACCAAGUGCCAAAAUAUUCACUCACCAAAAAAACCGCAGCAGAGACGGCAGCAGUGACAACGACUGAAAAGCUACAAGACAAAAACAACGGCAGCGGCGAUGAACUCCAAAAGACAGAACAUGAAGAUGCCCAAAAACCUCCACUCAACGAAGAACAUGCACACAACAGUCAGCAGCAGCAACGAGAACAGCAACAGAGACAACAAAAACAAUAA